rnacentral:lncRNA from 1 species
CGCUAUAUGCUGUUACAGCUCGGGCGAUGAAUGAAACUGGCCCAGUUAGAUCCACGUGGGGAUGGAUUUUGCCCGUAUCAUGCAGGUCUUAAACCGCUCCGCUAAGGCUUAGCUGCUACCACAGCAUGGACCCUGGCCCAGGAGGAGAAGUGUGACGUGAAGGUGACGGCCACAGAGCACGAGCUUCUGUGUCCAGCGGUGGAUGGGAAAAAAUCCAGAGGAGCUUCCAUUUGUGGACAUCAGUGACAGAUGUUGGCUCUGCUGAAGAUACUAUAAACUCUUUCACAUGUAGGACAGGCAGCUUGCGUUUUAACUGCUAUGAGGAGGUGAAUACAGCAGUCCUGGAAGCACUGCCUGACUCCGAGAAGGAGAACUGGUAGGACACAUUGUAUCCUGGAGGUGUGUGGUACGACUGAAGAGCAAAUACCAUCUUAAGGAGCAUCUUUCAGAAGUGGUUAGAUUUCCAAAGGGAGAAAAUAGCAUAUCUUUUAAAAAGUCUCAGGCUUCUUGUCUCUUCUGCACAGUCCUGUAUUUAAACAUUUUUUUCAAUAAUUGCAAAUCUAG